UACGUAGGGGGCGAGCGUUGUCCGGAUUCAUUGGGCGUAAAGAGCUCGUAGGCGGCCGCUCAAGUCGAAUGUGAAACCUCGAGGCUCAACCUCGAGCCUGCAUUCGAUACUGGGCGGCUAGAGUCUGGUAGGGGGAUCUGGAAUUCCUGGUGUAGCGGUGGAAUGCGCAGAUAUCAGGAGGAACACCGGUGGCGAAGGCGGGAUCCUGGGCCAGUACUGACGCUGAGGAGCGAAAGCGUGGGGAGCAAACAGG
rnacentral:rRNA from 1 species